GGCUCAGGAUGAACGCUAGCUACAGGCUUAACACAUGCAAGUCGAGGGGCAGCAUGAGAUUAGCUUGCUAAUCUUGAUGGCGACCGGCGCACGGGUGCGUAACACGUAUCCAAUCUACCCAUGGCUCGGGGAUAGCCUUUCGAAAGAAAGAUUAAUACCCGAUGGUCUGCGAUUGAGACAUCUCGAUUGCAGUAAAGACUUGUCGGCGAUGGAUGGGGAUGCGUCCGAUUAGCUAGUUGGCGGGGUAACGGCCCACCAAGGCAACGAUCGGUAGGGGUUCUGAGAGGAAGGUCCCCCACACUGGAACUGAGACACGGUCCAGACUCCUACGGGAGGCAGCAGUGAGGAAUAUUGGUCAAUGGGCGAUGGCCUGAACCAGCCAAGUAGCCGUGAGGGACGACGGCCCUACGGGUUGUAAACCUCUUUUGUAUGGGAAUAAAGUGAGGCACGUGUGCCUUUUUGUAUGUACCUUACGAAUAAGCAUCGGCUAAUUCCGUGCCAGCCGCAGC
rnacentral:rRNA from 1 species